AAGGGAAUCGGGUUAAUAUUCCCGAACCUCGACGCGGAGAUUGGCGCUCCGGCGCCUAGUGCGGCAACGCAAACGAACUCGGAAACGCCGACGUGGGUCCCGGGAAGAGUUCUCUUUUCUUGGUAAGGGGCGGCGACCCUGGAAUCGGUUCGCCCGGAGAUAGGGACAUGGGCCCCGUAAAGCAGCACGUCUCUUGUGCUGUCCGGUGAGCUCGCGUCGGCCCUUGAAAAUCCGAGGGAGACGGUGUAAUUUUCGUGCGAGGUCGUACCCAUAUCCGCAGCAGGUCUCCAAGGUGAACAGCCUCUGGCCGAUAGAACAAUGUAGGUAAGGGAAGUCGGCAAACUAGAUCCGUAACUUCGGGAAAAGGAUUGGCUCUAGGGGCUGGGUCGGUCGGGCUGAGGUACGAAGCGGGGCGCGGCGCUGUACCGGACUGGGCGAACGACGGCCUCCCUCGCGGGGGGCUGGCGUGAGCCUGGACCUGUGUCGGCGUCUUCCCGUGGAAUGCCGCAGCUAACGCGGGCCUCGCGGCCCGCUUCGGCCGGCGUCGAACAGCCGACUUAGAACUGGUACGGACCGGGGGAAUCCGACUGUUUAAUUAAAACAAAGCUUUGCGAUGGCCGUCAGCCGGUGUUGACGCAAUGUGAUUUCUGCCCAGUGCUCUGAAUGUCAAAGUGAAGAAAUUAACCAAGCGCGGGUAAACGGCG
rnacentral:ncRNA from 1 species